rnacentral:rRNA from 1 species
CUACGGGACGCUGCAGUGGGGAAUAUUGGACAAUGGGGGAAACCCUGAUCCAGCAAUGCCGCGUGUGUGAAGAAGGCCUGCGGGUUGUAAAGCACUUUCGGUUGGGAGGACUGCUUCUAGCACUAAUAUUGUUGGAAGUUGACGUUACCUUCAGAAGAAGCACCGGCUAACUCCGUGCCAGCAGCCGCGGUAAUACGGAGGUGCAAGCGUUAAUCGGAAUUACUGGGCGUAAAGCGCGCGUAGGCGGCUAGAUCAGUCGGGUGUGAAAGCCCCGGGCUUAACCUGGGAACUGCAUCCGAUACUGUCUAGCUUGAGUACAGGAGAGGAGAGUGGAAUUCCACAUGUAGCGGUGAAAUGCGUAGAUAUGUGGAGGAACACCAAUGGCGAAGGCAGCUCUCUGGCCUGAUACUGACGCUGAGGUGCGAAAGCGUGGGGAGCAGACAGGAUUAGAUACCCGUGUAGUC